rnacentral:rRNA from 1 species
AACGAACGCUGGCGGCAUGCCUAACACAUGCAAGUCGAACGAGACCUUCGGGUCUAGUGGCGCACGGGUGCGUAACGCGUGGGAACCUGCCCUUAGGUUAGGAAUAACUCCCCGAAAGGGGUGCUAAUACCGGAUAAUGUCUUCGGACCAAAGAUUUAGUGCCUUUGGAUGGGCCCGGGUUGGAUUAGGUAGUUGGUAGGGUAGAGGCCUCACAAGGCGAUGAUGGGUAGCUGGUGUGAGAGGAUGAGCGGACACAUUGGGACUGAGACACGGCCCAGACUCGUACGGGAGGGAGCAGUGGGGAAUAUUGAGCAAUGGGCGGAAGCAUGAUGCAGCAACGCCGCGUGCGGGAUGAAGGCCUUCGGGUUGUAAACCGCUUUCGCCUGUGACGAAGCGUGAGUGACGGUAAUGGGUAAAGAAGCACCGGCUAACUACGUG